UGUAAAGUUCAAGCCCCGAUAUGAGGGCGAAACCGCGAAUGGCUCAUUAAAUCAGUCAUAAUCUACUUGAUUGUUUAAAGUUUAUAUGGAUAACUGUGGUAAUUCUAGAGCUAAUACAUGCACAAAUGGGGCGACUCUCGCAAGGGAGAAGCUCUGCGUUUAUUAGACUAAGACCAAUGACUAACUUCGGUUAGUCUUAAUUAAGGUGACUCUGAGUAAAUAAUGGGUGAAAGCCCAUGUUGCUGACCUGACAUACCAAAAGGGCCAAAAACCCUGUCAGGCAAAUCAAUCGAGUGUCUGCUCUAUCAACUGUGGAUGGUAGGAUAAUUGCCUACCAUGGUGGUGACGGGUAACGGGGAGUUAGGGCUCGACUCCGGAGAACAAGCCUGAGAAACGGCUAGUAGGACUAAGGUCUGCAGCAGGCGCGAAACUUACACAAUGCUAGAUUACAAUUAGCGAUGUAGUGAAGAAAAAUAACGAUGUACUUCCAUUUAAACAUGGUAGUACAAUUGGAAUGAGACGACUAUAAAUGAGUUAGUCGAGUAACAAAUGGAGGGCAAGUCUGGUGCCAGCAGCCGCGGUAAUUCCAGCUCCAUUAGCAUACAUUAAAGUUGUUGCGGUUAAAAAGCUCGUAGUUGAAUUUUAGGCGAGCUCUAUUGGGCCUCUUCCGAAAAGGCUCCAUCGCAGUUCGCUGCUUUGGUUGCUGGUUGUAGGCUUCCAUUAGGAACUCGCUGUUUCGUCACUUAAUCGAGUGCGAAGCGGGCUGGCACGAUACCACCUCGGUGGUUUUAUCGUUUCAGCAUGUUUACCUUGAGAAAAUUAGAGUGCUCACAGCAGGCAGUUGGGGUGUAAAAGCUCCUUUAUGCUUGAAUAAUGUUGCAUGGAAUAAUAGAAUACGGCCUCGGUUCUAUUCUGUUGGUCUUAUAGAACAACAAACAAGUUGGUUAAAGCGACCAAAAGUCCAUCUUGAGCGUGGCUCGUCGGGUUAUGUUGCCUGGAAGGUUAAAGUUUCAGCGCCUUGCUCGUCUUGCCAUUAAAAGCGCUCUUGGUGUGGCUAGCUUUUCAAUCAACUGAGGCAAUGGUUAAAAGAAAUAGUCGCGGCGGCAUCAGUACUGCAUCGUGAGAGGUGAAAUUCUUAGACCGAUGCAAGACUAACUGAAGCGAAAGCGUUUGCCGAGGAUAUUUUCAUUAAUCAAGAACGAAAGUUAGAGGUUCGAAGGCGAUCAGAUACCGCCCUAGUUCUAACCAUAAACGUUGCCAACUAGCAAUUGGGUUGCGAUUCCUUUAAUCGGUGUGUCUAAAAGCCACCGAUCAUUAUGAUCCACCCAGCGGCUCUCGUAGGGAAACCAAAGUGUUUGGGUUCCGGGGGAAGUAUGAUUGCAAAGUUGAAACUUAAAGGAAUUGACGGAAGGGCACCACCAGGAGUGGAGCCUGCGGCUUAAUUUGACUCAACACGGGGAAACUUACUAGAUUAGAACUCUGGAAUGAUUGACAGAUUGAUAGCUCUUUCUUGAUUCAGAGGAUGGUGGUGCAUGGCCGUUCUUGAUUCGUAUUCCGAAACGUCUGCUUAAUUGCGAUAACGAGUGAGACCUCACCCAACUAACUAGUCGUUCGGUGCGCUGUGGGACGCAAAAGUCCAAUGCGGGUUCGCGUGUGUAGUCGUAGGGGCAACCUGAAAGCUGCAUACGUCCGUGUUGGAUGUCCUCUGCUCGCCGGCGGACUUCUUAGAGGGAUAAACGGUGUUUUAGCCGUAAGAAACGAGGCAAUAACAGGUCUGUGAUGCCCUUAGAUACUCUAGGCCGCACGCGUGCUACAAUGGCGUGUGCAGAAAGCUUGUUCGAGGUUUGUCUGGAGAGAACUGGUUGUUUGGCUUAUCGAUUGGGGGCAACUCUAGUUGGUGGGUCGGCAGCAAAGUGACUCCAGUUACCAGGCCGAGAGAAACCUUAGUCGAGAGAUUAGGGCAAUCAAAAAUACACGCCGUGAUUUGGGAUUGGGGAUUGCAAUUGUUGCCCAUGAACGAGGAAUUCCCAGUAAGCGCAAUUCAUCAUAUUGCGUUGAUUACGUCCCUGCCCUUUGUACACACCGCCCGUCGCUACUACCGAUUGGAAGUUUUAGUGAGGCAUUUGGACCUGCCAUCCAGGGUGGGGCAACCUACCUGGGACAGCGGGGAAGUCUGUCGAACUCAAAUUUCUAGAGGAAGUAAAAGUCGUAACAAGGUUUCCGU
rnacentral:rRNA from 1 species